ensembl:lincRNA
UUAUUCUGAGCCUCAUUCUAGAUGCUGAGGGCAAUGGAAGCACAUAACUUAUGCAAGAGAACCUCUUGUUCUGUGAUAUGCAGCAUCUUGUGACCUUGGUGAUAUAUUAACAUAUCAAGCAAAGAGAUGCAGAUAGAUCUUUGGGCAUAUUUGAUGAACGGUUACACCCAUUUACAGAAUGAGUUGGAAAGGGAAUUCUUGAAGCUAAUUAAUUACAAUAUCAGCGUUACUGGCAGUGUUUAUAGCAGAUUCUACUUCAAUCUUCGAACCUUGGCACAUGACAACAGCCUGUAUUCGCUAGUUUAUCUUCUUAACAGAGAAAGAGCAUGGAAGCUGGAGGCUUUUUCAAGGAUGGAACAAGACAAAGUUUUCUAUAGUGCUGCCAAGAACAGGUCUUUGAGUACUGAUGAUUUAAUUCAUUUUCAGCAUGCUAAGGCCAUCCUCUUCUGAAGGAAGAAAUGAGGGGUAGUGCAAACCCUCAUUUUGAUGUGAUCUGAACCUCUCAUCAAAAAAGGCAGGAAAAUAUCACCUCUCCUGCUAACGAACUAGAAAAGUUGGUAUUUUCAAAAGAAGAAACACCUCAAUUCAAGUUAACUCAAGGACAACUAAAUGGCACUUCAUAGUAAAGAAUGGGACCUUGUCAGGGCAACAACACACUCUUACAUUCUUCUGUCCCAUUUAAUGUAAACAGAGUUAUAAAAACCACUCUAAAGUGAAGACUCCUUCUACCCACACACAGAUAUUUGCUUAGUAUGUGGGCUGAUAGCUGUGAACUACGUAAGGC